rnacentral:lncRNA from 1 species
GUACUCGCAGGAGCCCAAUCCCGGGGCGGAGCUGGCCGUUCUCGAGUCCAUCCGCCAGCACCUCCUCGACGAUAUCGUCCCCUCGAUCGAGGUCCCGUCCUCCGCGGUGACCGCACCUCCCGUUUACUGCCGGAGCUCCAGCUUCGGCAGCCUCGUCGCCGACCAGUGGGGUGACCUCCCCUUCCGGCUCGACGACUCCGACGACAUGGUCGUCUACGGCGCCCUCCGGGACGCCUACUCCCACGGCUGGAACCCCUCCCCCG